rnacentral:lncRNA from 1 species
AUCUUUUUCUCAAAAUUGUAAUUACUAAAGUUACAAAAACUAUGAAGGUAUGACGUGUGGGAAACGAAGUAAUGCAUAUGGUUUCGAUUCUUUUGGUCAAUCAUCACUUUUCCCUCGUCUGCUGUUUCAACGCCAAAGAACUUCUGACGCAUUGCUUAGUAUCAUCGCUCAACCAUGCAUUUUAUCUCUAUGGGACUCAGACAUACAAAGGUAGCCACAAAAAUGUAAUCAAUGAAUAUUAUGCCAUGCGCAUCCCCGAAUACUCAUGUAAUAUCCUAAUCAGACGACUAUUGUGUCUUUCCACGUUUUGGAUUUAGUUCAUUCCAUGCAGUCUACUCGCCUGACUGUCGAUUGGACUCUGGAGUGAAGUGAUGGAGCCACUUUUUAUCUAUUGCCAUAUAUCGUUUAAAAAACUUGGUUGUAGGACAAUUCAGAGAAAUCAAUACUGCAGAAGCACAAUUUGACAACUGACAUUUCACCGAAGGCAAUUUGCUUAAAAGAAAAUCGCUGAGUCACCAUGUGGCCGAAAAAUGCGAACAAGCAUAAUAUCGUGUUAGAGCAGCGAUUUCUACUUCGUUAUGAUCCAUAAUGUGUCUGAAGAAGAGACUGUUGGCUAUAGUGAGGCAAGCCUCUGAGAAGAUUUUGGGAGCACUCAAAGGUCGAGUUGUAGGAGAGCUCGAGAAAACGAGAGACACUAUUGAAGAAAACUAAUAAUACAUGAUAAUUAAUUGAUAACGGAGAAGUGAUAAGCACUUUUUACAUUAUAAUCCAUGUUGUGUUUGUAUAUUAUUUAACUUUUUGGAAGGACUGCGCCAGUAAAGAUUCGAUUUCCAUA